CUGCAUUUGCAAAUGCCAGGAAGAGGAAACUGCUGAGAAAUCGAAACUACUGGGGAAAGGGAGGGCCCACUGAGAACCAUCCCGCUAACCCGACCACCACUGGCCUUCGCAGGACACCAUGAACCACACGGUCCAAACUGUCUUCUCUCCUGUCAACAGCGGCCAGCCCCCCAGCUAUGAGAUGCUCAAGGAAGAGCACGAGGUGGCUGUGCUGGGGGCACCCCACAACCUUGCUCCCCCGACGUCCACCGUGAUCCACAUCCGCAGCGAGACCUCCGUGCCCGACCAUGUCGUCUGGUCCCUGUUCAACACCCUCUUCAUGAACCCCUGCUGCCUGGGCUUCAUAGCGUUCGCCUACUCCGUGAAGUCUAGGGACAGGAAGAGUGGUUGGCGACCCGACUGGGCCAGGCCUAAAGCCUCUCCACCGCCAAAGUGCCUUGAAACACUGAUUUUGGGCAUCCCUCGCGACCAUUCUGCUCAUUGUCGUCCCAGUAUUGAUCUUCCAAGCCCAUCAAUAGGUCAGGAGACAUCAUUCAGGCCAGGAGCUC